CUACUUCCUGGGUGGAUUUAUGAUCAAAUACAGAGCCGGUGGGCUCAGGGCAUACUGAAGCAAAGCCUUCUCUUCUCCUACUGUACAUGGGCAGGCUCUUGGAUGCCCUUUUCCAGAAUGGAGCUGCUUCAGAAGCCAGGAGAACCUGUUCAUUUUCCCGGGCAGCUCCAAGAGUGAGCCUUCUAAUCUCCUCUCCAUCCUGCCCACUUCGAUGCUGGGCAGAAAGGGCUGGGCCUUGAUCUCCCAGAGGCACCAUGUUCGGAACAACCCUUAGAGCCCUUCGCCUGAGUCCCCCAGGAGUCUGGGGACCCCUGCAUUGACAUGCAGCUCCUAACAUCUGCAGUGAUUGCCCAUCCUUUGUUCCAUGGACUCUUUGCUUUUCCUCUCCUGCUGAUCCCCAUGGAUGACACAGCCUCACGUUGUCCAAGUGCUACAGGCAAGAUCCAGUCUAGCCUUUCAGAUUUGUUUCAUUACCGAGUGAUUGAUCACUGUUUUUGUGCAACAUGUUGGUUUCUCUGCUACUUCCAGUUACUAAACUAGAUAUUUAUUUGCGCUCGUACAGCUUUGCACUUUCAACUUUCCUACAUCUUUGGACAUAAUUAAUUCAAGAAAAACUAGAAGGCACCUCAAAAUUAAGCACAGAUAUGGCAAACCAGCCUGAACUGAAGCUGUCGUGGGGGUGACUGGCAUGCAGGGUACAUUCUUAAUGUGCUUUCCACGGGACAAAGUGAACCUUGGGGCACAAAAAGACUUUGCUUAUCUCCAAAGUUAGUAAAGACUGCGAAAGUUGAGGAGAUGCUUUGCAAAAACAGUAACCUGAAUGUUAAAAUGCGUACCGAUUCAUAACAUUCCUUGUUUGGAAGCAUCGGGGCAUGUUGGGGCAUGUCCUUCUCCUUACGCCUCAAGAGCAAAUCACACAAACUCCACGGAAGGGACUGACUCAAGUUGUUAGACAUGGAUGUGCAAUUGGUCUACAGUCAGAACUUCCUGGAAACUUUAUCUAAAAUGUAGGCCUAAGGUCUUACAGGAAUUUUCAUGGAAAUUUUCCUAAAUUUUAUGACGUAUUUCUCUUCUGCGAAUCAGUUCUGAAGAGUGGGGUUCAGUGGGUUGCUCCCUGUGGCCCAUUGCCUGGUAUUUGGUGGGCACAUGAUGAUAUAAAAUGGUAAUGAAAUGGCUGCUUGGAUGUUGAAUUUAAUUUAACCUCACCCAUUGGAUUUCCUUGACGCAUCCUCUUGAAAUUGCCUUGGUGACGCCGCAAUACGGAACAAUCCAGAGGAGGUUUCUGCUGAGUUCCACGGGGACUUCUACUCCCAACCAGGUGGACUUACUCCUCCUAAGGAAUUGCAAUCUAUUUGCUAACUGCUGAAAACCCCCUUAACAAAACUCUCUAGGACUGUGUAAAAUUGAGCCAGAAGGUUACAGAGUAUUCCUCCUCCAGAACCCUCUGCCUCAAGGCAAUUGUGCUUCGACUCAGCAGAGGGGAGCCUUCUGUCUCCAGGACACCUGGAGUCCUGCUCCUCCUCACCAUACCUGGACCAGCUGACUCUGCUCACCGCCUGGCUCUCACCUGUGCCUGGGCCUGACCCACGGUGUCUGAACACACCUGUUCUGUUUUCCAAGGGACUGACCUCUGCACCAGCUAGGAACCAGACUCAGCCAGCCGUCAACCAUGCUCCUGCACAUCCCAGUUCUCCUGGGCAGGUGGCCAGCUGGCAUGUGACACCUGGGCCUAGGACAGGAGGUCUCAGCACUCUGUAGCCUCUGACCCUCCUGAACAGAGCAAAGAGCGAUCCAAGGAGAACCAUGUGGCUUUCAGUCUCCGUAGAAAGUACCGAGGGGACAGAAGAACCUACUCCUUCCAUGAUUGACCCAGGUAUCCAUGGUGAGGAGACAGAGCCAUGUGCAGCUUCUCCACAGCAAAUCUUCAUUUCACUCCACCUAGGAAGCACAGCCUUGGGAGAAGUAAAACCUCCAAAAUCGUAAGUUGGCCUACUGAAGUGGCAAUUUUCUUUCCAAUAAAACAUUAGAAGUAUUAUUUAAUCUUAAAAUAUUCACAAAUAUUUUACAGAUACUUCUGCCAUGCACUUAAUCUCUACAUUAAAUGAGGGUUGCUGGAAAAGUAGGAAAAAACCAAAAGGAUCCUGGGAGGCUGAUUGCCAGCAGAGCCAUUGAAAAGAUUGAAACAAUUGUUUUGUGCCUCAUCUUUACCAAAAUAUUUAAAAUAAAUAUGAACCUCUGUCAAGCUGUCAAGGAGAGGUGGACUGGUGGCUGAAAGGCCCUGCUCUACAUAUUAAG
rnacentral:lncRNA from 1 species